rnacentral:tRNA from 1 species
GAGGAUAUAGCUCAGUGGUAGAGCUCUUGCUUAGCAUGCACAAGGUCCUGGGUUCAAUCCCCAGUACUGCCA